rnacentral:rRNA from 2 species
GGAAAAGAAACCAACAGGGAUUGCCCUAGUAACGGCGAGUGAAGCGGCAACAGCUCAAAUUUGAAAUCUGGCUUCGGCCCGAGUUGUAAUUUGUAGAGGAAGCUUUAGGCGCGGCACCUUCUGAGUCCCCUGGAACGGGGCGCCAUAGAGGGUGAGAGCCCCGUAUAGUUGGAUGCCUAGCCUGUGUAAAGCUCCUUCGACGAGUCGAGUAGUUUGGGAAUGCUGCUCAAAAUGGGAGGUAAAUUUCUUCUAAAGCUAAAUACCGGCCAGAGACCGAUAGCGCACAAGUAGAGUGAUCGAAAGAUGAAAAGCACUUUGAAAAGAGGGUUAAAUAGCACGUGAAAUUGUUGAAAGGGAAGCGCUUGUGACCAGACUUGCGCCGGGCGGAUCAUCCGGUGUUCUCACCGGUGCACUCCGCCCGGCUCAGGCCAGCAUCGGUUCUCGCGGGGGGAUAAAGGUCCUGGGAACGUAGCUCCUCCGGGAGUGUUAUAGCCCAGGGCGUAAUGCCCUCGCGGGGACCGAGGUUCGCGCAUCUGCAAGGAUGCUGGCGUAAUGGUCAUCAGCGACCCGUCUUGAAACACGGACCAAGGAGUCAAGGUUUUGCGCGAGUGUUUGGGUGUAAAACCCGCACGCGUAAUGAAAGUGAACGUAGGUGAGAGCUUCGGCGCAUCAUCGACCGAUCCUGAUGUAUUCGGAUGGAUUUGAGUAAGAGCGUUAAGCCUUGGACCCGAAAGAUGGUGAACUAUGCUUGGAUAGGGUGAAGCCAGAGGAAACUCUGGUGGAGGCUCGCAGCGGUUCUGACGUGCAAAUCGAUCGUCAAAUCUGAGCAUGGGGGCGAAAGACUAAUCGAACCAUCUA